rnacentral:rRNA from 1 species
CCUACGGGUGGCAGCAGUGAGGAAUAUUGGUCAAUGGCCGUAAGGCUGAACCAGCCAAGUCGCGUGAGGGAAGAUUGCCCUAUGGGUUGUAAACCUCUUUUGUCAGGGAGCAAUUUGCGCUACGUUUGGCGGUAACGAGAGUACCUGAAGAAAAAGCAUCGGCUAACUCCGUGCCAGCAGCCGCGGUAAUACGGAGGAUGCGAGCGUUAUCCGGAUUUAUUGGGUUUAAAGGGUGCGUAGGCGGAAGUCUAAGUCAGCGGUAAAAUCGCGGGGCUCAACAUCGCCCUGCCGUUGAUACUGGCGUUCUUGAGUGGGCGAGAAGUAUGCGGAAUGAGUGGUGUAGCGGUGAAAUGCAUAGAUAUCACGCAGAACUCCGAUUGCGAAGGCAGCAUACCGGCGCGCAACUGACGCUGAGGCACGAAAGCGUGGGUAUCGAACAGGAUUAGAUACCCUAGUAGUC